AUGCAGAAGAGUUUUCUACUAUCUUCCCUGCAAAGAGCACCAAGUUUGACAAUCACCCAUAGGUGAGAGUACCUUUGUUGGAGUCCAGGUCCAGUGGAGAAGUUCCAGCAUACAACCGAAGCAAAAAAAGAAGAAUCUGAGAUUGGACCCUUUGAAAAUGAGAAAAAAAUGUUUAUAAACUCUGGAAAAUAAACAAAGCAUGUGGCAUUAUCAAAGAGGAGAGGAAAAUGCAAAUCAGAAUUUAACACUUGCAGAGCUAUGCAAAUCCAUCUAGAGGAGAGGUACCUGGAUUCCACAGAGAUGAGUGGACAACUGAGAAACUUCCCAAGACACAUGGCUUAUCAAAAUGCCCAAGAAUACUCAAAACCAGGAAACAAUGUCAAAAUCAGAGAUCUCUUCUAGAAAGUGGAAUUGUGAUCCAGGAAUGAAAAAGAAAGGAGAAGCUGGCCACACAUCUCUGUCCUUUGUCAAAGAAAUUAAAGAAAAUGUGUGAGAAUUCUAAAGUAUUCUUCAAAAUUGAGGAUGAGCAGAUUGCUCUUGACAAUGGAAAAAUUUCCAGGACUUUUGCUUCAGAGUAGGAUUAAUAGAAUGAGAGAUGCUGAAGUAUUGCUGGAAAGGUAGAGGUAAACAAGUUCAGGAGAAGAUGACAAACCAUUAGGCAG
rnacentral:lncRNA from 1 species